rfam:Erinaceus europaeus unplaced genomic scaffold scaffold00170, whole genome shotgun sequence
GUCUACGGCCAAACCACCCUAAACGCACCCCAUCUCAUCUGAUUUCGGAAGCUAAGCAGAGUCGGGCCUGGUUAGUACCUGGAUAAGAGAAAGGUUACUGGGAGAGGUGCGUAUGGUUCUGUCCUCC